CCUACGUGAGGCAGCAGUGGGGAAUAUUGCGCAAUGGGCGAAAGCCUGACGCAGCGACGCAGCGUGAGGGAUGAAGGUCUUCGGAUCGUAAACCUCUGUCAGCAGGGAAGAACGGUCACUGUGCUAAUCAGCAGUGAAUUGACGGUACCUGCAAAGGAAGCACCGGCUAACUCCGUGCCAGCAGCCGCGGUAAUACGGAGGGUGCGAGCGUUAAUCGGAAUUACUGGGCGUAAAGCGCUCGUAGGCGGUAUGUCAAGUCAAGGGUGAAAUCCCCGCGCUCAACGUGGGAACUGCCUUUGAAACUGGCAAACUGGAGUGUGUGAGAGGAUAGUGGAAUUCCAGGUGUAGGAGUGAAAUCCGUAGAUAUCUGGAGGAACAUCAGUGGCGAAGGCGACUAUCUGGCACAUAACUGACGCUGAGGAGCGAAAGCGUGGGUAGCAAACAGGAUUAGAUACCCCAGUAGUC
rnacentral:rRNA from 1 species